AUUGAACGCUGGCGGAAUGCUUUACACAUGCAAGUCGAGCGGCAGCGCGGGGCAACCUGGCGGCGAGCGGCGAACGGGUGAGUAAUGCAUCGGAACGUACCCAGUCGUGGGGGAUAACUGUCCGGAAGGACAGCUAAUACCGCAUACGUCCUGAGGGAGAAAGCGGGGGAUCGCAAGACCUCGCGCGAUUGGAGCGGCCGAUGCCGGAUUAGCUAGUUGGUAGGGUAAAGGCCUACCAAGGCGACGAUCCGUAGCUGGUCUGAGAGGACGACCAGCCACACUGGAACUGAGACACGGUCCAGACUCCUACGGGAGGCAGCAGUGGGGAAUUUUGGACAAUGGGGGCAACCCUGAUCCAGCCAUUCCGCGUGAGUGAAGAAGGCCU
rnacentral:rRNA from 1 species